rnacentral:rRNA from 1 species
AGAGUUUGAUCCUGGCUCAGGACGAACGCUGGCGGCGUGCCUAACACAUGCAAGUCGAGCGGAGAUAUUAGUAAUAAUAUCUUAGCGGCGGACGGGUGAGUAACGCGAUAAUGUCUUAGCGGCGGACGGGUGAGUAACGCGUGGGCAACCUGCCUCACACUGGGGGAUAACACAGGGAAACUUGUGCUAAUACCGCAUAACAUCAUGAAAGGACAUCCUUUUAUGAUCAAAGGAGCAAUCCGGUGAGAGAUGGGCCCGCGUCCAAUUAGCUAGUUGGUGAUGUAACGGACCACCAAGGCGACGAUUGGUAGCCGAACUGAGAGGUUGAUCGGCCACAUUGGGACUGAGAUACGGCCCAGACUCCUACGGGAGGCAGCAGUGGGGAAUAUUGCGCAAUGGGGGAAACCCUGACGCAGCAACGCCGCGUGGAGGAAGAAGGUCUUCGGAUUGUAAACUCCUGUCUUCUGGGACGAUAAAUAUUGAGUUUACAUGACGGUACCCAAGGAGGAAGCCCCGGCUAACUACGUGCCAGCAGCCGCGGUAAUACGUAGGGGGCAAGCGUUGUCCGGAAUUAUUGGGCGUAAAGGGCGCGUAGGCGGAUGUUUAAGUCCGGUGUGAAAGAUCAGGGCUCAACCCUGAGAGUGCAUCGGAAACUGGGCAUCUUGAGGACAGGAGAGGAAAGUGGAAUUCCUAGUGUAGCGGUGAAAUGCGUAGAUAUUAGGAGGAACACCAGUGGCGAAGGCGACUUUCUGGACUGUAACUGACGCUGAGGCGCGAAAGCGUGGGGAGCAAACAGGAUUAGAUACCCCUGGUAGUCCACGCUGUAAACGAUGAGUGCUAGGUGUAGAGGGUAUCGACCCCUUCUGUGCCGCAGUUAACACAAUAAGCACUCCGCCUGGGGAGUACGGCCGCAAGACUGAAACUCAAAGGAAUUGACGGGGGCCCGCACAAGCGGUGGAGCAUGUGGUUUAAUUCGACGCAACGCGAAGAACCUUACCAGGGCUUGACAUACUGUGCAAAACCCUGGAGAGAUAGAGUGGAGGUUAUCCGGGAUACAGGUGGUGCAUGGUUGUCGUCAGCUCGUGUCGUGAGAUGUUGGGUUAAGUCCCGCAACGAGCGCAACCCUUGUCUUUAGUUACCAUCAUUCAGUUGGGGACUCUAGAGAGACUGCCGGUGAUAAACCGGAGGAAGGUGGGGAUGACGUCAAAUCAUCAUGCCCCUUAUGACCUGGGCUACACACGUACUACAAUGGCCUGAACAGAGGGAAGCGAAACUGCGAAGUUAAGCGAACCCCUUAAAACAGGUCCCAGUUCGGAUUGUAGGCUGCAACUCGCCUACAUGAAGUUGGAAUCGCUAGUAAUCGCAGGUCAGCAUACUGCGGUGAAUACGUUCCCGGGCCUUGUACACACCGCCCGUCACACCACGAAAGUCGGCAACACCCGAAGCCGGUGACUCAACCCGAAAGGGAGAGAGCCGUCGAAGGUGGGGUUGGUAAUUGGGGUGAAGUCGUAACAAGGUAACCA